AAAACUUUCAACAACGGAUCUCUUGGUUCUGGCAUCGAUAAGAACGCAGG
rnacentral:rRNA from 1 species